rnacentral:lncRNA from 1 species
AACUAGACACUAAGACCAGCAACUCGACACGACGAUGCAACCGAUAAUUCAACUAUGCAAGCAAUGAAUAGAAAAUUGCAAAGGCUCAGACUGGCUUGGAUAAAGGAUGAACAGAUCUAACUUUUUUUGUGGCUUUUUCAUGGACUGUAGGUAUGAAUGACAGAUGCGAUCUAAACUAUGAAAAAACUGUAAAAUCUCACCGAGCAACCUGAAAACUGAUACCACUUGAUAGAGGCGAGGGUGUCCCGAUCUUUCGAUGAGAUGAUAACUAUCGAUUUGGUGGAGACGACUUUGACGAUCCGACUACAAACGUGCACGACGUUGCGCCUUAGCAAUCGCUAAACCAAUCUCCUGAGGUUACUGACGAUGCCGGAAGCACGGCCAGCCUGACCACGAAGGUCUAUUCCUGCAAGCAAUCGAAGAACGAGCAAGAAUAUGAUAAAGCAAUCUGAAUAUUGCAAAUAUAUAUGAGGUAUUGAUAAUGGUGGGGAUCCAUAAGCGGUCUUGGUCUGGUCGUUGGACACAAACGAAGUACACGAAGUUGCAAUGGCUAACUUUUAACUAAACAAAUCCCAAGGAAAAAGCUACUAGAUGGAUCUACUUAUAUAGGAGCAAGGGGUGGCGGCCAAGGAGGUGGGAGGACGUCCCAAGGCAGCCUAAAACUAAAUCUAGGUCGUACAAGGCCAAUGGGCCUAAGUGGAGGUGAUGUAACACCUUUGGACUUGUAGUUUGACUCGGAUUCUGCUGCAGCAACAGAUUGUUUCGUCCACAACUCAACGCUCCGGACGAAUUUGAAGGUGAUUCCAAUUGAGUUGGAAAGUGCACGAAAUCUAGUUUCCAACAAAAAAAGAAUCACCCAAUUCGGAGUCCGUAUGAAAAACUUGUGUGCGUUUUGAGUCAGGUAUGUCUGUGCAGUCCGAAUCUGAAUCCAGAACGUGAGAGACUUGGACUCUAUCUUCUCUUGGGCCAAAAGUGACGUGAGAGAACUUUUUGAACAGCAAAUAAACAUCUCCUUCUUCCUUAUCUUCAUAUGUGGAUUGUACAAAUGUCCCAUACACCUGCAGUUAGACAAAACACAAAAGUGUGUGAAGUAUUUUUGUUCUGGAUAACAUAAAUAGAUUAUUGAAUAGUUUGCACUAGAAAUGACCUGACAAAUAUGCAUAUAUGCAAUAUUUUUGGUCAUAUCCAAGGUAGUCAUGUCCUCAUCAUAUUGUAAACAUGUAAAUCGUUGUUCAGUUUCUAACUCCCAAGUAAGAUAUAUAUCAGGAACAUAUCUACCCUCAAAUGGUGGAAUAUUCAAUUUCAGUUUAGGAAUAUGGACAUCAUCUCGUACCUGAGGUGGUGGUGCAGGCCUACCAUUACGAAUAUAUACCUGAGGUCGACCUGCUGGUGGUGGUACAGGUGGCUGCACGUAGUGCUGAUUUUGAUCAACCUCAUCCUCAUAAUCUCCCACAUAAUCAUCCUCCUCCGCAUCAGCAGCAGGAGCCACAGAAGUAUCAACAGCAGCACCAACAGUUUGGCCAAACGCAAGAGGAACACGGCUUGCUCGGCGGAGGUCUGUUUCGCGACGUGGAGGUAGUCGUUGUUGUUGUUGGAGAGGUGCGUUAGGUGCAGCGGGUGGUGGUGGUGGAAGACACGCGAGCAAUUCAUUAAACUUGUUAUCGAGCUUUGUUUCGAACGUCUUCUCAAGGCAGUGAUCUUCUCCAUGGCCUCUUCAAAAUUGUUCACCACAUCUUGCACCUGUUCAGUCAUCAUUUGCUGAAACUUAUCAUGAAGCUCCUUGUUCGAUAAAUUCUCCCAGUCAAUCUCGUCGGCUUGUGAUCCUGGCAUGGUUAGCAGCAAUAGAAACACACAAGAAUAUGAUCCUACAGACUACGAACAAGUGGUGGUGGUGGGUGUCACAAACCUGUCAAGCAAAACUCAAAUUCUUACCAGUUCUUACCCAGCAGCAGGCGGUGAUCGGCAACCGUUGUAGUCAAAACUCUCAAAGCUUGGAUAGAGCGAUUACCAGGGAGAGUCAAACACACGACGUAGAUGUAUGUGGAGCUGGGAAGGCUUAUAAUAUGGUAGCUAAAAGGGUCAGCAAUAAUCAAUUCAGAGAUGCAAAGUUGAAUAAACGCUCAACGACGGUACUGUGCUGGUCCUAGGCUAGACUGUGCUAGAGACGCGAGCCUAGAACACCAACAAAAUCACGGCGCGGCACGUAAACAAGGGAGGAGCACACUCUGAAUUUUUUUCUCUUUUUUUGCACUUUUUUUCCUCUUUUUUUUUUGCUCCGCAACAAAUUUUUUUUUUUGAAAAAGUCUACAAAUGGUCUAAAAACUGCCUAGCCAGAAUUUUCCAGACUUAGUUUUUUUUUUGAAAUUGGAACUAUUUUUCUUCUGCGGAUGGCUCAGAAGUUGGGGAGUCCUUCUCUGUCACGACUCGGAGUAUCGCGUGAUCUGGAAAUCGAGGACAAUGCAACAAUUACUGGACUCGGACUAGGACUGGUGGCGGAGAUGAAUCUGGUGGAACUCGGACUGGUGGCGAAGAUGAAUCUGGUGGAACACGGACAGGUGGUGGAUAUAUGUUGCAGGUGAACUCGGAUUGGCGUGAUGGCGGCGGAUAUGUGGUGGCGUAUAUGGAUUCGGAUUGACGGUGAAUAUGUGGUGGUGGUAUAUGGCAACAGCGACGAUGAUGAUGCGGUGGUGAUAUAUGGCAGCAGCGACGUGACAACCUAUGAACAGAACUCGAAACUCUAAAAGACUAGACGCUAAGACCAGCAACUGGACACGACGAUGCAACCGCAAAUUCAACAAAGCAAAUACAGAAAAGAUUAUGCAAGUCUCAGAUUGGUUCGGAUGGGAUGAACUAAACCUAAUUUUUUUUGGCUUUUUCGUGGACUAUAGGUAUGAAGAACAGACUCGAUCUAAACUACGAAAAACUGUAAAAUCUCACCGAGCAACCUGGAAAUCUGAUACCACUUGAUAGAGGCAAAGGUGUCCCGUCUUUCGAUGAGAUGAUGGAUAUCGCUUUGGUGGAAGUCGACUUUGACUAUCUGACUACGAACGUGCGAGGACGUCACGCCUUAGCAAUCGCUAAACCAACUCCGAGAGGUUAUUGACCACGCCGGAGCACGAUCAACCUGACCACGAGGGUCUGUUUCCUGCGAGCAAACGAAGAACAAGCAAGAAACUAAGAUUGCGAUCUGGAUAUUGCGAAUAUAAGAUGAAAGCUUUAUUGAUCAAGGUGGGGUUCUGUGACGCCUUUGUCUGGUCGUUGAACACAAACGAAGUACGCGAAGUUGCAGCUAUGGCGAACUUUUAAUCUAAAGAAAACCCAAAGUCUAAACGGUGCCCAAAGGGCUGUAUAUAUGGAGGAAGAGAGGGGGAAUUUCGUGGCCCUUGGUGGAGGGGUCCGAAAUCAACCCUAUCUCUUGUUUCCCCACACAUACGGACUCUAAAAAUAGCCUAUACCUAUGUAUUUCGAAAUUACAUAGGCCUGGCCCAAUAAAAAGGUGACGCAGCACCUAUAAUAGCCUCGGGACGAAAUUUAUGAAGUGGCAUCUUGUAUAUUUCGUCCAAGGCUUCAUGCACCCAUUAUGGUGGCUUCAAAGUCCUGAAAUCAUCACUUGUAACUCCGUUCUUGUUCCCCUUGCGCAUGGAAUCAUCUCCAUGCUUGUUCUUGCUCCAAUGUUCAUCCUUCUACAAGCUAGGCCCUUCAUUUGUAAGCAAAACAAAUGUAUCCAAUUUAGGCAGCAUCAUAUUCUCAUGAACAUUAGAAUCAUUACCAAGAAACGAAAGUACCUGAUAAUAUAAUUGGCGUGCGCGAGCUCUAGUAAUUGGUCCCGUAUAUGUAACAGUAGGGGAUGUGGGUGUAACAAUGGUAUUGAUGUCCUCAUCAUAGAGCCACUCAAUUCAUCAAGCAUAUCAUCGAGCCUAGGAAUAGGAUGACGAUAACGAAUACUAAUAUUAUUAAUGCCUCUACAAUCAACACACAUACGUGAUGUACCAUCCUUUUUCGGCACUAGAAUAAUAGGAACAGCACAAGGACUAAGGGAUUCGCGUAUAUAACCUUUGUCGAGAAGCUCUUGUACUUGACGCAUAAUCUCCUUCGUCUCAUCUGGAUUGGUACGGUAUGGUGCACGGUUUGGCAGUGAAGCACCGGGAAUUAAGUCAAUCUGAUGCUCAAACCCUCGAAUAGGCGGUAAUCCCGGUGGCACGUCUUGUGGAAAGACGUCAGCGAACUCCUGCAAAAUGUUAGUGACAGCAGGAGGCAAAGAGGAAGGCACGUCCUCGAAUGAAAAUAAUGCCUCUUUGCACACAAAAGCAUAGCAAACAGAUUUGCUGAAAUCUAGCUCAUCAAUAUCAGAUUUGGUGGCAAAUAAACAUGCACUUUUCAAUUUAAUUUCAGAAGCAACACUAGAUGGUUUAUUAUUAGGCUUCAUUUGUUGCUCAAAUUCUUUUGCCACAAUCUGAUUUUCACUCUUAUUCUUCUCCUGUUUUGCUUUAUUAGCUCUAUUAAUAUCAUCUUUCAAAAUGGAAUCAGGAGUCAUAGGAAGCAAAGUAAUAUUUUUAUCCUUAUGAACAAGAGUAUAGUGAUUGUUUCUACCAUGGUGUACAGAGUUUUUAUCAAAUUGCCAUGGUCUACCAAGUAAUAAGGAACAUGCUUGCAUAGGUACCACAUCACAAUCAACAAAAUCAGCAUAUGUAGAGAUACUAAAAUGCACAUGAACAGUACGUGUUACCUUAACCUUGCCGCUAUUGUUGAACCAUUGGAUGUAGUAAGGAUGUGGAUGUGGUCUUGUGGUGAGAGAAAGCUUCUCCACCAUCUCCAUGCUAGCCAAGUUGUUGCAGCUCCCUCCGUCUAUUAUGACGCGCACAGAACGUUCCUUCACAACUCCCUUGGUAUGGAACAAAUUGUGCCUCUGAUUUUGCUGAGCUUGUGUGACCUGCACACUCAAAACACGUUGAGCAACUAAACAUUCAUACCUGUCAGCGUCUUCAGCGUCUCCAGAAUCAUCUCCACCAUGUUCUUCACGUGUAAUAAGAGCCAAAGUCUCCUCAUCAUAGUCACUAGCGGACUCAUAUCCACCAUCUGCGGUAGCAAUCAUCACACGCGGAGAUUUGCAUUCUCUCGCAUAAUGACCUCCUCCCUUACAACGACGACAAAUAAUAUCACUUGUGUGCCCUGUUGAUGCCAUGGAAGAAGAAGAACUCUGUGCAGGCCCAGCAGGUGCGCUCUUGGCAGAUAAUAGUGGUUGUACCUGUUUUCUUGUAUCACGACUGGAGGAGGCACCUGAUUGAGGUGCUGGUGCAGUUGAAGUAGAAGAUGCACGCGGUGUCCAUGAUGAAGGUCGGCCUGCAGAAAAGUUAGAUCGCGCCAAUGCUUGUCGAUCCUGCACUUCACGUUCAGCUUUACAAGCAAGAUGGAAUAAACGAAUGAUAUUAGUAUACUCCUUAUAGUCUAGAAUGGUCUGAAUCUCUCUAUUUAAUCCACCCAGAAAACGUGCAAGCAUAGCUUCAUUCUCCUCAACAAUACCACAUCUAAUCAUGCCAGUUUGUAAUUCCUGAUAAUAUUCUUCUACAGAAUUUUUGCCUUGUCUUAAACGCUGCAAUUUUUGAAGCAAUUCACGUUGAUAAUAUGGUGGAACCCAACGCGUACGCAUAGCAGUUUUCAAAGAAGCCCAAGUAGUUGGAAUAGGAUAUAAUCUACAAUGUUCAGACCACCAUACACAUGCAAAACUAGUGAAAGCACAAACAGCAGCAGCAACCCGUCUCUCCUCGGGAUAUUGUAAACAUGUAAAACGUUGUUCAGUUUCUAACUCCCAAGUAAGAUAUAUAUCAGGAACAUAUCUACCCUCAAAUGGUGGAAUAUUCAAUUUCAGUUUAGGAAUAUGGACAUCAUCUCGUACCUGAGGUGCUGGUGCGGGCCUACCAUUACGAAUAUAUACCUGAGGUCGACCUGCUGGUGGUGGUGCUGGUGGGUGCACGUAGUUCUGAUUUUGAUCAACCUCAUCCUCAUUAUCGCCCGCAUACUCAUCAUCCUCCUGGGUACCAGCAGCAGCAGUAGCAGGAGCCAAAGAAGCAUCAAUAACAGGAACAGCAGCACCAGAAGUUUGGCCAUCCUCAAUAGGAACACGCUUCGCUCGUCCAUACUGAUUCGGAAGGAUGCGUUGUUGUUGGUGUUGCAGAGGUGCGAUAGGUGCAGCCGGCGGUGGUGGUGGUAAACGCGCGAGCAAUUCAUUAAACUUGCUAUCAAACUUUGUUUUGAACGUCUUCUCCAUGCCAUCUAUCUUCUCCAUGGCCUCGUCAAAUCUGUUUAGCACAUCUUGCACCUGUCCACUCAUCAUUUGCUGGAAUUUAUCAUGUAGCUGUUUGUUCGUCAGGUUCUCCCAAUCAGUCUCAUCGGCUUGUGAUCCUACCAUGGUUAGCAGCAAAUAGAAACACACAAGAAUAUGAUCCUACAGACUACUAAGAAGUGGUGGUGGUGUAUCACAAACCCGUCAAGCAAAUCUCAAAUUCUUACCAGUUCUUACCCAGCAGCAGGUGGUGAUCGGCAACCGUUGUAGUCAAAACUCUCAAAGCUUGGAUAGAGCGAUUACCAGGGAGAGUCAAACGCACGACGUAGAUGUAUGUGGAACUGGGAAGGCUUAUAAUAUGGUAGCAAAAGGGGUCAGCAAAAAUCAAUUCAGAGAUGCAAAGUUGAAUAAACGCUCAACGACGGUACCAGCUGGUCCUAGGCUAGACCGUGCUAGAGACGCGAGCCUAGAAUACUAACAAAAUCACGCCGCUGCACGUAAACAAGCGAAAAGCACACUCUGGAAUUUUUUUUUCGCUCUUUUUUUUGCGCUCUUUUUUUUGCGCUGCUUUUUUUGUUGCGAAAAAUCACUAUAAUGUCGAGUGUCUCAAAACUCUUCCUAGGUCAAACUGAAAGGAUGGGCACGAAAUUUUUUCGACCAAUUUUUUUUUUCGUUUUUUCGACUGCCCGGACCCAAAAACUGGAAAUGGGUCAAAAAAAAACUUCCUAUAAUGGCACCUGUCUCAAAACACUCAGAAACACCUAAAAAUAGGAUAGCCAGAAUUUUUUUCGAAAAAUGCAUUUUCGAAAAUUUUUGGGCCUAAACGGAGGGUGGUUUCCAGACUCUUUUUUUUUCGAAACCUACUCCGGCAAGGAAACACGAAUCGGAAACUAGAUGGAUCUCGAAAACACACCUAAUAUGCAAGGAACUCGGAUUGGUGGUGGAUAUAUGAUGGUGGUAUAUGGCAGCGGUGGUGGUAUAUGGCAGCGGUGGUAAUAUAUGGAUAUGGAUCGGUGGUGGUAUAUGGAUACGGAUUGGUGGUGGUAUAUGGACACGGAUUCGGAGCGGUGGUGGUAGGUGACAGGGGCGAUGAUGAUGGUGCGGCGGCGGCGUGACAACUUAUGACCAGAACUCGAAACUCUAAAAGACUAGACUCUAAGACCAGCAACUAGACACGACGAUGCAACCGCAAAUUCAACAAAGCAAAACCCUAAAAAGAUUAUGCAAAGGCUCAGAUUGGUUCGGAUAUGAUGAACUAACCCUAAUUUUUUUUGGCUUUUUCGUGGACUGUAGGUAUGAAGAACAGACUCGAUCUAAACUACGAAAAACUGUAAAAUCUCACCGAGCAACCUGGAAAUCUGAUACCACUUGAUAGAGGCAAAGGUGUCCCAUCUUUCGAUGAGAUGAUGGAUAUCGCUUUGGUGGCAGUCGACUUUGACGAUCCGACUACGAACGUGCGAGGACGUCGCGCCUUAGCAAUCGCUAAACCAACUCCGAGAGGUUAUUGACCACGCCGGAGCACGAUCAACCUGACCACGAGGGUCUGUUUCCUGCAAGCAAAUGAAGAACAAGCAAGAAACUGAGAUUGCAGUCUGGAUAUUGCGAAUAUAAGAUGAAAGCUUUAUUGAUCAAGGUGGGGUUCUGUGACGCCUUUGUCUGGUCGUUGAACACAAAUGAAGUACGCGAAGUUGCAGCUAUGGCGAACUUUUAAUCUAAACAAAACCCAAAGUCUAAACGAUGCCCUAAGGGCUGUAUAUAUGGAGGAAGAGGGGGGGGGGGAAUUUCGUGGCCCUUGGUGGAGGGGUCCGAAAUCAACCCUAUCUCUUGUUUCCCCACACAUACGGACUCUAAAAAUAGCAUAUACUUAUGUGAUAGAGGCGGGGUGUCCCGAUCUUUCGAUGAGAUGAUAACUAUCGAUUUGGUGGAGACGACUUUGACGAUCCGAC